rnacentral:pre_miRNA from 1 species
AGCUUCUAACAAAACUGUUUAUUGGUCGACGUUUCGAUCAGAUGCCGAUCUUUCUUCGGCUGAAGAAAGAUCGGCAUCUGAUCGAAACGUCGACCAAUAAACAGUUUUGUUAGAAGC